AGCUUUAGGAAAAUAAUCUAAGGUAACCCCUGCUCAAUGAUAGUAUUAAAUAGCCGCGGUACCUUGACCGUGCUAAGGUAGCAUAAUGAGUUGUCUUUUAAAUGGAGUCUAGUAUGAAUGGGGCUACGGGGGCAAGCUGUCUCGGAUAAUGUCUUAUUAAGUUACUAACUAGGUGAAAAGGCCUAGAUAUGAAAAAGGACGAGAAGACCCUUAGAGUUAAUUAUUUUGUUGGGGCGACAGAGAAUCAAGAUAACAUUCUUAAAACAUAAGAAGAAAAAUAUUCUGAGUAGAUAAACUACCUGAGGGAUAACAGCACUAUCCUUUUUGGGUUUGUGACCUCGAUGUUGGACUAGGGAAUUAAUAGGUUAGUCGCCUAUUAAGUAGAUUCUGUUCGAAUUUUUUUCCCCU
rnacentral:rRNA from 1 species